rnacentral:rRNA from 1 species
CCUACGGGUGGCAGCAGUGAGGAAUAUUGGUCAAUGGGCGGGAGCCUGAACCAGCCAAGCCGCGUGAGGGAAGAAGGUACAGCGUAUCGUAAACCUCUUUUGUCAGGGAACAAAGGCGGGGACUAGUCCCCGGAUGAGGGUACCUGAAGAAAAAGCAUCGGCUAACUCCGUGCCAGCAGCCGCGGUAAUACGGAGGAUGCGGGCGUUAUCCGGAUUUAUUGGGUUUACAGGGUGCGCAGGCGGCCUGUUAAGUCAGCGGGAAAAGCCCGGGGCUCAACCCCGGCGAGCCGUUGAAACUGGCGGGCUGGAGUUGGAGAGAAGUACGCGGAAUGCGCGGUGUAGCGGUGAAAUGCUUAGAUAUCGCGCAGAACCCCGAUUGCGAAGGCAGCGUACCGGCUCCACACUGACGCUGAGGCACGAAAGCGUGGGUAUCGAACAGGAUUAGAUACCCCGGUAGUC